AGGUUGCCGUCUACGGCGUGCCCGCUCCGAGGAGCAAGAGGGUGGACGCGAGGCGGGAGAAGGAGGAGGCGGAGCGGCUCAGACAGGCGAGCGAAGAGCGCGCGAGGC
rnacentral:SRP_RNA from 1 species